rnacentral:rRNA from 1 species
UACGAAGGGGGCUAGCGUUGCUCGGAAUCACUGGGCGUAAAGCGCACGUAGGCGGAUCUUUAAGUCAGGGGUGAAAUCCUGGAGCUCAACUCCAGAACUGCCUUUGAUACUGGCGAUCUCGAGUCCGGGAGAGGUGAGUGGAACUGCGAGUGUAGAGGUGAAAUUCGUAGAUAUUCGCAAGAACACCAGUGGCGAAGGCGGCUCACUGGCCCGGUACUGACGCUGAGGUGCGAAAGCUAGGGGAGCAAACGGG